CUGUCCCAGUCGCUCCCAGUUGCUCCCAGUCUGUUCCAGUUCGGGUUCCCAGUUCAGGCUCCAAUCCCAGUCUGUCCCAGUUUGGGCUCCCAGUUUGCCCCAGUUCAGGCUCCCAGUCUGUCCCAGUUUGGGCUCCCAUCGCUCCCAGUCGCUCCCAGUCCCUCCCAGUUGCUCCCAGUCCAUCCCAGAUGUCCCAGUUUGGGUUCCCAGUCGCUCCCAGUCCAUCCCAGUUUGGGUUCCCAGUAGCUCCCAGUCCCUCCCAGUUGCUCCCAGUCCGUCCCAGAUGUCCCAGUUUGGGUUCCCAGUCGCUCCCAGUCCAUCCCAGUUUGGAUUCCCAGUCCAUCCCAGUCCGUCCCAGAUGUCCCAGUUUGGGUUCCCAGUGGCUCCCAGUAACUCCCAGAAGCUCCCAGUCCAUCCCAGAUGUCCCAGUUUGGGUUCCCAGCUGUCCCAGUCGCUCCCAGUCCAUCCCAGUUGCUCCCAGUCCGUCCCAGUUUGGGUUCCCAGUCGCUCCCAGUGGCUCCCAGUAGCUCCCAGUCCAUCCCAUCCAUCCCAGUUUGGGUUCCCAGUGGCUCCCAGUCCAUCCCAGUAGCUCCCAGUUUGGUCUGGCUCAGGGCUGGGUUUCGGGGGGCGGCUCCGGGGGCCCCCC